CACGCCGUAAACGAUGAGUGCUAGUUGUCGGCAUGCAUGCAUGUCGGUGACGCAGCUAACGCAUUAAGCACUCCGCCUGGGGAGUACGGUCGCAAGAUUAAAACUCAAAGGAAUUGACGGGGGCCCGCACAAGCGGUGGAGCAUGUGGUUUAAUUCGAAGCGACGCGCAGAACCUUACCACCUUUUGACAUGCCUGGACCGCCCCCGAUAUGUGGGUUUGUUACCGGGGAUCUCAUUAAAGUGCCUCCUUGCGUUUUCCACUCCUCUCUAGUAUCUUGGU
rnacentral:rRNA from 1 species